rnacentral:rRNA from 1 species
UACGUAGGGGGCAAGCGUUGUCCGGAUUUAUUGGGCGUAAAGAGCGUGUAGGCGGCCACACAGGUCAGCUGUGAAAACUCGAGGCUCAACCUCGAGACGUCGGUUGAAACCGUAUGGCUAGAGUCCGGAAGAGGAGAGUGGAAUUCCCGGUGUAGCGGUGAAAUGCGCAGAUAUCGGGAGGAACACCGAUGGCGAAGGCAGUGGGCUGGGCCGGCACUGACGCUGAGGAGCGAAAGCGUGGGGAGCGAACAGG